UACGUAGGGUGCAAGCGUUAAUCGGAAUUACUGGGCGUAAAGCGUGCGCAGGCGGUUGUGCAAGACAGAUGUGAAAUCCCCGGGCUCAACCUGGGAAUUGCAUUUGUGACUGCACGGCUAGAGUGUGUCAGAGGGGGGUAGAAUUCCACGUGUAGCAGUGAAAUGCGUAGAGAUGUGGACGGAAUACCGAUGGCGAAGGCAGCCCCCUGGGAUAACACUGACGCUCAUGCACGAAAGCGUGGGGAGCAAACAGG
rnacentral:rRNA from 1 species